UGUGUAGGCGGUUGGUUAAGUUUGGUGUGAAAUCUCCCGGCUCAACUGGGAGGGUGCGCCGAAUACUGAGUGACUAGAGUGCGGGAGAGGAAAGUGGAAUUCCUGGUGUAGCGGUGAAAUGCGUAGAUAUCAGGAGGAACACCGGUGGUGUAGACGGCUUUCUGGACCGUAACUGACGCUGAAACACGAAAGCGUGGGUAGCAAACAGGAUUAGAUACCCUGGUAGUCCACGCCCUAAACGAUGCAUAUUUGGUGUGGGCAGUUCAUUCUGUCCGUGCCGGAGCUAACGCGUUAAAUAUGCCGCCUGGGGAGUACAGUCGCAAGGCUGAA
rnacentral:rRNA from 1 species